rnacentral:rRNA from 1 species
AUGGGAGCAGGGGGAGUGGUAGUGGGGGUGGAGGGAUGUAACACGCCGUGAGGAAGGUGGAAGGCGUAGUAGUCGCGUGUCAUAGUCGGGCGGUGAAUACCUCCCUGCUCCUUGCACACACCCCCCGGGGCAACACCCAAAAAAGGUUUGGAUGAGGCUGUAGUCUUUGGUUAUAGUCGAAUCUGGAUUUUUUGAGGAGGGCGAAGUCGUAACAAGGUAGCCG